rnacentral:Y_RNA from 1 species
GGCUGGUCUGAAAGGUAAGUGAGUUUUCUCAAUUGAUUGCUAACAGUUAGUCACAGAAUGAACUGCCUUGGUCUAUUCUCCUCCCAGGCCCCCACUCACUGCUACACUUGCCUAGUCUUGA